CAAGCACAAUAAGCAAAAGCAACCCUCUUUUCUUUCAUUCAACCCUCCUUUCUCCCCCCCCCCCCCCCCCCCUCCCAGCCUUGUUUUUCACUCUUCUAUAUUUCUUCUCCAAUCCCCACCCAAAUCACCCCUAACCCUUUUGACAGAUAUUAAUUUGUUGGUUUUGGAGCAAGGAGAGAGAGACAUGGAAAUCAGCUCAAGGCUUCAAGAGAGAGAGAACCACAGCCACAAUCACAACCACCACCACAACCAUAACCUCCCUUCUCCUAUGAACUCUCCAACAAGCAAUGUGAGCAACUGUAUGAGCAGCAGCAACAGCAAUGGCAUCCAAAUCCCAACACCACCCCUCACUCCCAAAACCAUUCCCAGAUCUGACUCCAACCCUUACCCUACCACUUUUGUCCAAGCUGACACCUCUACUUUCAAGCAAGUAGUCCAAAUGCUAACUGGCUCAUCAGACACCACAAAACAAGCAUCACAAGAUCCACCACCAUCAUCCAGAAACUUCAACAUACCCCCCAUCAAGACCCCACCAAAGAAGCAACAAGGCUUCAAGCUCUACGAGAGGAGGAACAACAGCCUCAAGAACAGCCUCAUGCUCAACACCUUGAUGCCCAAUUUUGCUCACAAUCACAACAACAACAACUCUCCAAGCUUCUCACCAAGAAAUAUGCCUGAGAUCCUCUCCCCAAGCCUUCUUGACUUCCCUUCCCUUGCUCUCAGCCCUGUCACACCAUUGAAUGAUAACCCUUUUGACAAGUCCUCUCCUUCAUUGGGGAACUCAUCAGAGGAGGAUAAAGCCAUAGCUGAAAAGGGCUUCUACUUGCAUCCCUCUCCCAUGACCACUCCAAGAGACUCAGAACCACAGCUCUUGCCUCUGUUCCCAGUUACCUCACCUAGAGUCUCAUCAGAAUCACCCUCUUGAGGAGAUUGGAGAAUAGAUUGUGUUCCUGUGUUGUGGAUGAUUUAGAUAGAGAGAGAAUGGUUGGUGGUUAAUUACAUCAUGGGUUUUUUUUUUUUAUUUGAAUGGUUUAUGGUUUCCUCCAUCAACAAGGUUCAAAAGCUUUGGUCUAAUUGCAAAAGUGGCUUUCUUAGCAUGAAAUGGCAACUCUUUUCUUUAUUCUCCUGCUUUGUUUUCCCACCUCAAAAUAUUGCUAUCUGUUCUUGUUUUCCCUUUCCAUAAAUGAAAAAAAAAGUGUCUUUGUCGAAUGAAUUUUAUUUUAUUUUUCUCUCCAUGUUCCAUCUAGUUUUUCAAGGGUUAUUCUUGUUAGGAAAAACACAUCUUGGGAAUUAUCAUGAGCCAGGGUGUCUCUUUUGAUUGAGUGUGAUGAUGAAUUCAAUGAAUAAGGGUCUUCUUCAAAGUGUCUGUUUGUGUUUGUGUGUGAUUGCCGUGUCACACCAACCACCACCAGUAAGAAGUUUGUGUUGAGACGAAGAGAAUCCAAAGAUGGUAAAUUGAACAAAGACAAGGGAAUGAGGUUGCUUGGAAGGGACACAUGUUACUGGAAAUCAGUGUUGGAAAGGACAUAACCGUAUCCUAAGUUGUCAUCAUCGCAGAAAGAUGCACCAAAAGGAAGGUGGGUGGGUUAACUUGAUGAAGAUUGAAGGGUGAGAGUGAGAGGGUCCCUCUUAUUGGUUAUAUGCCAAUUUAGUCUAAUCAGUUUCUCAAGUAACUCAAAUCCCAGAUAAUGAUAAUGCGCUUUUGCUUCUUUUUUUAAAAAAAUUUCUUUUUCUUUUUUCUUUUUUGGCUGACACCUAUCUGGGAAGAAAAAACCCAUUUCUGUAGCAGUUUUCAAGUACCUAUCUGAAUAAGAAGUAAAGCAAAGAUGACUUUUUCUUUCUUUGGUUUGUUUGUUUUAAAAUGCAGAACAUUUAUGCAUGA